GACGAACGCUGGCGGCGUGCUUAACACAUGCAAGUCGAACGCUGAAGCUCAGCUUUUGUUGGGUGGAUGAGUGGCGAACGGGUGAGUAACACGUGAGUAACCUGCCUCCUUCUUUGGGAUAACGCCCGGAAACGGGUGCUAAUACUGGAUAUUCACUGGUCUUCGCAUGGGGGUUGGUGGAAAGGGUUUUUCUGGUGGGGGAUGGGCUCGCGGCCUAUCAGCUUGUUGGUGGGGUGAUGGCUUACCAAGGCUUUGACGGGUAGCCGGCCUGAGAGGGUGACCGGUCACAUUGGGACUGAGAUACGGCCCAGACUCCUACGGGAGGCAGCAGUGGGGAAUAUUGCACAAUGGGCGCAAGCCUGAUGCAGCGACGCCGCGUGAGGGAUGGAGGCCUUCGGGUUGUGAACCUCUUUCGCUCAUGGUCAAGCCGCAACAAUGGUUGUGGUGAGGGUAGUGGGUAAAGAAGCGCCGGCUAACUACGUG
rnacentral:rRNA from 1 species